UACGGAGGAUCCAAGCGUUAUCCGGAUUUAUUGGGUUUAAAGGGUGCGUAGGCGGCCUAUUAAGUCAGGGGUGAAAGACGGUAGCUUAACUAUCGCAGUGCCUUUGAUACUGAUGGGCUUGAAUGUACUUGAGGUAGGCGGAAUGUGACAAGUAGCGGUGAAAUGCAUAAAUAUGUCACAGAACACCAAUUGCGAAGGCAGCUUACUAAAGUAUGAUUGACGCUGAGGCACGAAAGCGUGGGGAUCAAACAGG
rnacentral:rRNA from 1 species